UCCUACGGGAGGCAGCAGUGGGGAAUAUUGGACAAUGGGGGGAACCCUGAUCCAGCCAUGCCGCGUGUGUGAAGAAGGCCUUAUGGUUGUAAAGCACUUUAAGCGAGGAGGAGGCUUACCUAGUUAAUACCUAGGCUAAGUGGACGUUACUCGCAGAAUAAGCACCGGCUAACUCUGUGCCAGCAGCCGCGGUAAUACAGAAGGUGCGAGCGUUAAUCGGAUUUACUGGGCGUAAAGCGUGCGUAGGCGGUCAUUUAAGUCAAAUGUGAAAUCCCCGAGCUUAACUUGGGAAUUGCAUUCGAUACUGGAUGGCUAGAGUAUGGGAGAGGAUGGUAGAAUUCCAGGUGUAGCGGUGAAAUGCGUAGAGAUCUGGAGGAAUACCGAUGGCGAAGGCAGCCAUCUGGCCUAAUACUGACGCUGAGGUACGAAAGCAUGGGGAGCAAACAGGAUUAGAUACCCUGGUAGUCCAUGCCGUAAACGAUGUCUACUAGCCGUUGGGGCCUUUGAGGCUUUAGUGGCGCAGCUAACGCGAUAAGUAGACCGCCUGGGGAGUACGGCCGCAAGGUUAAAACUCAAAUGAAUUGACGG
rnacentral:rRNA from 1 species